rnacentral:rRNA from 1 species
GAUGAACGCUGGCGGCGUGCCUAAUACAUGCAAGUCGAGCGAACAGACGAGGAGCUUGCUCCUCUGACGUUAGCGGCGGACGGGUGAGUAACACGUGGAUAACCUACCUAUAAGACUGGGAUAACUUCGGGAAACCGGAGCUAAUACCGGAUAAUAUAUUGAACCGCAUGGUUCAAUAGUGAAAGACGGUUUUGCUGUCACUUAUAGAUGGAUCCGCGCCGCAUUAGCUAGUUGGUAAGGUAACGGCUUACCAAGGCAACGAUGCGUAGCUGACCUGAGAGGGUGAUCGGCCACACUGGAACUGAGACACGGUCCAGACUCCUACGGGAGGCAGCAGUAGGGAAUCUUCCGCAAAGGGCGAAAGCUUGACGGAGCAACGCCGCGUGAGUGAUGAAGGUCUUCGGAUCGUAAAACUCUGUUAUUAGGGAAGAACAAAUGUGUAAGUAACUAUGCACGUCUUGACGGUACCUAAUCAGAAAGCCACGGCUAACUACGUG